rnacentral:rRNA from 1 species
UACAGAGGGUGCGAGCGUUAAUCGGAAUUACUGGGCGUAAAGCGCACGUAGGUGGCGACGUAAGUCAGGUGUGAAAGCCCCCGGCUCAACCGGGGAACAGCAUUUGAUACUGGCAGACUCGAGGAUGGUAGGGGUGAGUGGAACUCCAGGUGGAGCGGUGAAAUGCGUAGAUAUCUGGAGGAACACCGGUGGCGAAGGCGGCUUCCUGGACCACAACUGACGCUGAGGCGCGAAAGCUAGGGGAGCAAACAGG